rnacentral:rRNA from 1 species
UACAGAGGGGGCAAGCGUUGUUCGGAAUUACUGGGCGUAAAGGGCGCGUAGGCGGCCUGCUAAGUCGAACGUGAAAUCCCUCAGCUUAACUGGGGAACUGCGUGUGAGACUGGCAGGCUCGAGUGCAGGAGAGGAACGCGGAAUUCCAGGUGUAGCGGUGAAAUGCGUAGAUAUCUGGAGGAACACCGGUGGCGAAGGCGGCGUUCUGGACUGUAUCUGACACUGAGGAACGAAAGCCAGGGGAGCAAACGGG